UACGUAGGGGGCAAGCGUUGUCCGGAAUCAUUGGGCGUAAAGCGCGUGUAGGCGGUCCGGUAAGUCGGUUGUGAAAGUCCAGGGCUCAACCCUGGGAUGCCGAUCGAUACUGCCGGACUAGAGUCCGGAAGAGGCGAGUGGAAUUCCCGGUGUAGCGGUGAAAUGCGCAGAUAUCGGGAGGAACACCAAUGGCGAAGGCAGCUCGCUGGGCCGAAACUGACGCUGAGGCGCGAAAGCUAGGGGAGCAAACGGG
rnacentral:rRNA from 1 species